UCAAAGCUUCUCGACGUCAUGAAUCUAGAGUCUAAUGUUACCUCUUCCACCCUGAGAAAUUUCUUUUCCCGUGAGUACUUGGAUACACCUCUCUUUCGUAUCCGGACUCCUCUUCGUAAUGAGAUGAUCGUCCUUCCCGAUCCUCCUCCUCCUGAUCUAAUCGACCCUCAAAAUGGCCAUAGUUUAGUUUUCUUUGUCAAACAGCGCGAGUACGGCCUAACUUUCCCCUUUUUACCCUUCUUUGUCGAAGUCUUCCGGUAUUUCAGAAUAACCCUUCGGAUGCUUGCUCCUAACUUGAUUCUCUUUAUGUGUUCCUUUGAGUCCAUCAAUCUGAGCUGGGGUAUCGC
rnacentral:lncRNA from 1 species